rnacentral:rRNA from 1 species
ACGCUGGCGGCAGGCCUAACACAUGCAAGUCGAGCGGUAGAGAGAAGCUUGCUUCUCUUGAGAGCGGCGGACGGGUGAGUAAUGCCUAGGAAUCUGCCUGGUAGUGGGGGAUAACGUCCGGAAACGGACGCUAAUACCGCAUACGUCCUACGGGAGAAAGCAGGGGACCUUCGGGCCUUGCGCUAUCAGAUGAGCCUAGGUCGGAUUAGCUAGUUGGUGGGGUAAUGGCUCACCAAGGCGACGAUCCGUAACUGGUCUGAGAGGAUGAUCAGUCACACUGGAACUGAGACACGGUCCAGACUCCUACGGGAGGCAGCAGUGGGGAAUAUCGGACAAUGGGCGAAAGCCUGAUCCAGCCAUGCCGCGUGUGUGAAGAAGGUCUUCGGAUUGUAAAGCACUUUAAGUUGGGAGGAAGGGGCAGUUGCCUAAUACGUAACUGUUUUGACGUUACCGACAGAAUAAGCACCGGCUAACUCUGUGCCACGCAGCCGCGGUAAUACAGAGGGUGCAAGCGUUAAUCGGAAUUACUGGGCGUAAAGCGCGCGUAGGUGGUUUGUUAAGUUGGAUGUGAAAUCCCCGGGCUCAACCUGGGAACUGCAUUCAAAACUGACUGACUAGAGUAUGGUAGAGGGUGGUGGAAUUUCCUGUGUAGCGGUGAAAUGCGUAGAUAUAGGAAGGAACACCAGUGGCGAAGGCGACCACCUGGACUGAUACUGACACUGAGGUGCGAAAGCGUGGGGAGCAAAC